GACGAACGCUGGCGGCGUGCUUAACACAUGCAAGUCGAACGGAAAGGCCCCUUUGGGGGUCCUCGAGUGGCGGACGGGUGCGUAACACGUGAGUAACCUGCCCUUGCCUUCGGGAUAACUUCAGGAAACUGGGGCUAAUACCGGAUAGGAAUCCUUGCUGCAUGGUGGGGGUUGGAAAGCUUCGGCGGUUUUGGAUGGACUCGCGGCCUAUCAGCUUGUUGGUGGGGUAGUGGCUUACCAAGGCUUUGACGGGUAGCCGGCCUGAGAGGGCGACCGGCCACAUUGGGACUGAGAUACGGCCCAGACUCCUACGGGAGGCAGCAGGGGGGAAUAUUGCACAAGGGGCGGAAGCCUGAUGCAGCAAGGCCGCGGGCGGGAUGACGGCCUUCGGGGUGUAGACCGCUUUCAGCAGGAGCGAAGCUUGUGGUGACGGUACCUGCAGAAGAAGCACCGGCUAACUACGUG
rnacentral:rRNA from 1 species